GACGAACGCUGGCGGCGCGCCUAACACAUGCAAGUCGAACGGAGCUGAGAGAAGCUUGCUUUUCUUAGCUUAGUGGCGAACGGGUGAGUAACGCGUGAGUAACCUGCCCUGGAGUGGGGGACAACAGUUGGAAACGACUGCUAAUACCGCAUAAGCCCACGAUCCGGCAUCGGAUUGAGGGAAAAGGAUUUAUUCGCUUCAGGAUGGACUCGCGUCCAAUUAGCUAGUUGGUGAGGUAACGGCCCACCAAGGCGACGAUUGGUAGCCGGACUGAGAGGUUGAACGGCCACAUUGGGACUGAGGCACGGACCAGACUCCUACGGGAGGCAGCAGUGGGGGAUAUUGCACAAUGGGGCAAACCCUGAUGCAGCGGCGCCGCGUGGAGGAAGAAGGUUGUCGGAUUGUAAACUCCUGUCGUUAGGGACGAUAAUGACGGUACCUAACAAGAAAGCACCGGCUAACUACGUG
rnacentral:rRNA from 1 species